rnacentral:lncRNA from 1 species
ACUAAAAAUACAGUCCUAGGUAAUCAAAUAAUCAUGAAAUAUUUGGCUUAAUAAUCAAAUAAUCAUUAAAAAAACGGCCAAGUAAUCACAUAAUCAAAAACCCCAUGAGGGCCCUCACAGAUGAAGUGUUUACUGAAAAAGCAAAAUGUACUGAAACGUCGUCAUGCGACGUCAUCAAAACGUCAUCUUUUUAAAAUUAGCAAAUACAAUAUGUUUCAAGUAUUCAUUUCUUAAAAAAAGAAGAGUAAGCAUGGACAGAUAUCCAAUUGUUCAAAAUAUUUGAAAAAAAUAAACAAAAGCUCUGUUAUUCGACUUUUGACGAUGCGAAUUUAAGCAUGGAUGCAAUUUGGGUACUCCUCAUUACAGAAUCAUUGAUGGUUUGGAGGUUAGUUCAGACUAAUUUUUCUAUGAUUCCAUAUGAAUUGAAAAUCAAAUUGGUGUACCUAUAUAGUAAAGAAGGAUACGGCUACAAAAUAAACACAAAAUGGAAACUUUUGUCUUAAUCAUUAAAAAAAUGUAGUUGAAAAAACUGUCAAAAUAGGUGCAAUUUGGGUACCGUCACGUUAUA